rnacentral:tRNA from 1 species
GUCCGGGUGGCGGAAUAGGCAGACGCGCUAGCUUGAGGUGCUAGUGCCCUUUAUCGGGCGUGGGGUUCAAGUCCCCCUCGGACACCA